UCGAGCGAACGGACGAGAAGCUUGCUUCUCUGAUGUUAGCGGCGGACGGGUGAGUAACACGUGGAUAACCUACCUAUAAGACUGGGAUAACUUCGGGAAACCGGAGCUAAUACCGGAUAAUAUUUUGAACCGCAUGGUUCAAAAGUGAAAGACGGUCUUGCUGUCACUUAUAGAUGGAUCCGCGCUGCAUUAGCUAGUUGGUAAGGUAACGGCUUACCAAGGCAACGAUGCAUAGCCGACCUGAGAGGGUGAUCGGCCACACUGGAACUGAGACACGGUCCAGACUCCUACGGGAGGCAGCAGUAGGGAAUCUUCCGCAAUGGGCGAAAGCCUGACGGAGCAACGCCGCGUGAGUGAUGAAGGUCUUCGGAUCGUAAAACUCUGUUAUUAGGGAAGAACAUAUGUGUAAGUAACUGUGCACAUCUUGACGGUACCUAAUCAGAAAGCCACGGCUAACUACGUGCCAGCAGCCGCGGUAAUACGUAGGUGGCAAGCGUUAUCCGGAAUUAUUGGGCGUAAAGCGCGCGUAGGCGGUUUUUUAAGUCUGAUGUGAAAGCCCACGGCUCAACCGUGGAGGGUCAUUGGAGACUGGAAAACUUGAGUGCAGAAGAGGAAAGUGGAAUUCCAUGUGUAGCGGUGAAAUGCGCAGAGAUAUGGAGGAACACCAGUGGCGAAGGCGACUUUCUGGUCU
rnacentral:rRNA from 1 species